rnacentral:rRNA from 1 species
AUUGAACGCUGGCGGCAUGCCUUACACAUGCAAGUCGAACGGUAACAGGUCUUCGGAUGCUGACGAGUGGCGAACGGGUGAGUAAUACAUCGGAACGUGCCUAGUAGUGGGGGAUAACUACUCGAAAGAGUGGCUAAUACCGCAUGAGAUCUACGGAUGAAAGCAGGGGAUCGCAAGACCUUGUGCUACUAGAGCGGCCGAUGGCAGAUUAGGCAGUUGGUGGGAUAAAAGCUUACCAAGCCGACGAUCUGUAGCUGGUCUGAGAGGACGAUCAGCCACACUGGGACUGAGACACGGCCCAGACUCCUACGGGAGGCAGCAGUGGGGGAUUUUGGAUAAUGGGCGCAAGCCUGAUCCAGCAAUGCCGUGUGCAGGAUGAAGGCCUUCGGGUUGUAAACUGCUUUUGUACGGAACGAAAAGCCCUGGGUUAAUACCCUGGGGUCAUGACGGUACCGUAAGAAUAAGCACCGGCUAACUACGUGCCAGCCGCCGCAGUAA